GACGAACGCUGGCGGCGUGCCUAAUACAUGCAAGUUGAGCGCUGACGGUGGGUCCUUGUACUAACUGGAUGAGCAGCGCACGGGUGAGUAACGCGGGGGGAAUCUGCCUUUGAGCGGGGGACAACAUUAGGAAACGAAUGCUAAUACCGCAUAAAAACUUUAAACACAAGUUGUAAGUUUGAACGAUGCAAUUGCAUCAGUCAAAGAUGAGACCGAGUUGUAUUAGGGAGUUGGGGAGGUAAAGGCUCAACAAGGCGAAGAUACAUAGCCGACCUGGGAGGGUGGUCGACCCACUCUGGACUGGGACACCGCCCAAACUCCUACGGGAAGCAACAGUAGGGGAACUUCGGAAAAGGACGAAAGGCUUACCCCACAACGCCGGGUGAGUGGAGGAGGUUUUCGGAUCGUAAAACCCCGUUUGUAGGGAAGAACGUUGGUGAGAGUGGAACGCUCAUCAAGUGACGGUACCUACCCAGAAAGCAACGGCUAACUACGUG
rnacentral:rRNA from 1 species